ensembl:lncRNA
UUUGUCCUGGUCAUUGGUGAUUCUCAUCUCCGUGCCUUAGUGGAUCACAUUGUCCCCAUGCCAAAUCAGGCUGUUUCCACUGGUCGAACUACCAUGGCUUUUGGCUUCAUGUCCACUCCUGGAGCAAGAGUUUCACAUCUGAUGGCAGAUGUUCGUGGGGAGGUGUUACCCAGAUGCCUUGUCCCAGUCAUAGUAUGUCUGAUCAUUCCUGGUAACAACCUUGAAGCCAGCCCAUCCAUUAUCCAGGCAAUUACCAAGAACUGCUGGCCCUGAAGUAUGAAACCCAAGCAUGGGAUCUGGAUGUGACUUACGGAUUGGAGACGUCCAGGGCCUUCCGGGCCCUACGAGCAGUGGCCGAAAAGAUUCAUUUGAGCAAUGAUUUUGAGAUGCCAAGAUUUGAGCAAUGUUUGAGGAAAUACAGGUCAUUGGUACAACUAGACCUCAUUGUGCUGGGUUUCAAAUUGUGCUGUCAAUGGUGGCGUCAUCAGCAAUAACCCGAUCCCCAUCAAUGGUCAGCCUGACAUGGACUCCUUAAAACAGUAUGAGAAAAAACUGCAGGGCAUACUUCACCCACUAGACAUCCAAGACAUCUGCUCUGUUACUGUCUGGCAGGAGGUACUGGACCACCAGGGCUCUGAGACAAUGUCUGUACCCAAGCAAGAAGAUUAUAAAGUGUUAUUAUUUUCUCCACAGUCCACAAACCGUACUGAAUACUCAUAUACAGUGGUGGUAAAAAUUAUUUGAUCCCCUGCUGAUUUUGUAUGUUUGCCCACUGACAAAGAAAUGAUCUGUCUCUAAUUUUAAUGGUAGGUUUAUUUGUACAGUGAGAGACAGAAUAACAUUAUGUUUAGAAUUGAUUUGCAUUUUAAUGAGUGAAAUACGUAUUCAACCCCUCUGCAAAACAUGAAUUAGUUCUUGGUGGCAAAACACUUGGCAAUCACAGAGGUCAGACAUCUCUUGUAUUUGGCCACCGGUUAUAUGUCGUGGAGCUCCGCCCCCUAGAGGGGCUUUAGCUCCUAGUGGUUUACCCGUGCCGCGUCCGCGGCCGUACUGAAAACUCAUUAUGCAAGAUGCGUCAGCCAAUCAGGGCACACCUGCACCUAUAUAUGACCCGUGAGCCCAGAGAACGUCCUCCUGAGAUUAUUCAGCAUAACUCGUGGGACGGCAGGGCAACAGGUCUAGGGGGCUCCGCUCCACUCAUAUAACCAGAGUUACAAUAGGUAACUAACGUUAUAUGUCGUGGAGCUCCUAGGGGGCUUUAGCUCCUAUUGGUUCACGGCGGAGCAAGCGAGCCAAAAAUGAAAGCUCACAGGAUCAGUAAAAACCGACCCCAAUAACCCCAAGACGAAAACAUCCCCGACAGCUGACAAAGUCAGAAAGGGAUGCUCGAAUGCGUAAUGAAGGAAUCCCCCUAGCAUAGGCCCAUGAACAUAAGCCACUCAGGGAGGAGCGAUGUUGAACUCAAGCGAGAGGGAAACGUAUCCGUUCCACACAAGCACAACAGAAAAUGUCGAUGCACCACACAUCACAAGAUGAGGGGCAUGAGGAGACAGACAGAAAAAAAUACUACAAGUAACUCCCCAGAGGGGAGACAAACCCACACCAUGUGUAUUGGUAGGCAGUGACAAUACCCAUGAGCCAACUAGCCACCGUAUAGACACUGUAAAGGAGAGGAUAAAUCAAGACACGCGCUUGAUUAUCUAGUAAGUUCAGAGGUCCCGGGCAGCAGCCCCAAGGACCGAAUGAACGAGGGAAGACGGAGACACGUCUGGUAAAUAGAAACGCACAAACGCCGAAGGCGACGACCACGACGCCGUGGCGCAAAUGUCAUCCACUCUGACCCCGUGAAAAAGGGCAGAAGAGGCAGCAACACCCUGCGUGGAGUGUGCACGGAGCCCCUCCGGAACAACAGAGACCGACGCUCUAUAGGCCAAAGUGAUACAGUCACAAAGCCAAUGGGAUAGACGCUGUUUGGAAAGCGGAUGACCCAACAGGGAAUCCAAAUAGCAAACAAACAGCUUGGGAGUCAGUCUGAUAGACCAGACAGUGAAGCCUGUCGUCCUCCUCACGGACAGUCGAAGGCGGGGGCCUAGACAACAGACAGCCAACACUAAUACACAAAAAUGAAUUAUAUUAGCGACUACUACCAAUCAAAACCUUUGCA